AUACGGAGGGUGCAAGCGUUGUUCGGAAUUACUGGGCGUAAAGCGCGUGUAGGCGGCUUGGAAAGUCGGAUGUGAAAGCCCGAGGCUCAACCUCGGAACUGCAUUCGAAACUUCCAGGCUAGAGUCCCGGAGAGGAUGGUGGAAUUCCCAGUGUAGAGGUGAAAUUCGUAGAUAUUGGGAGGAACACCAGUGGCGAAGGCGGCCAUCUGGACGGUGACUGACGCUGAGGCGCGAAAGCGUGGGGAGCAAACAGGAUUAGAUACCCGGGUAGUCC
rnacentral:rRNA from 1 species